UGGGGAAUAUUGCACAAUGGGCGAAAGCCUGAUGCAGCCAUGCCGCGUGUAUGAAGAAGGCCUUCGGGUUGUAAAGUACUUUCAGUUGUGAGGAAGGGGGUAACGUUAAUAGCGUUAUCUCUUGACGUUAGCAACAGAAGAAGCACCGGCUAACUCCGUGCCAGCAGCCGCGGUAAUACGGAGGGUGCGAGCGUUAAUCGGAAUUACUGGGCGUAAAGCGCAUGCAGGUGGUUCAUUAAGUCAGAUGUGAAAGCCCGGGGCUCAACCUCGGAACUGCAUUUGAAACUGGUGAACUAGAGUGCUGUAGAGGGGGGUAGAAUUUCAGGUGUAGCGGUGAAAUGCGUAGAGAUCUGAAGGAAUACCAGUGGCGAAGGCGGCCCCCUGGACAGACACUGACACUCAGAUGCGAAAGCGUGGGGAGCAAACAGGAUUAGAUACCCUGGUAGUCCACGCCGUAAACGAUGUCUACUUGGAGGUUGUGGCCUUGAGCCGUGGCUUUCGGAGCUAACGCGUUAAAGU
rnacentral:rRNA from 1 species